GGGUAACACUAACUGGAGGACCGAACCGACUAAUGUUGAAAAAUUAGCGGAUGACUUGUGGCUGGGGGUGAAAGGCCAAUCAAACCGGGAGAUAGCUGGUUCUCCCCGAAAGCUAUUUAGGUAGCGCCUCGUGAAUUCAUCUCCGGGGGUAGAGCACUGUUUCGGCAAGGGGGUCAUCCCGACUUACCAACCCGAUGCAAACUGCGAAUACCGGAGAAUGUUAUCACGGGAGACACACGGCGGGUGCUAACGUCCGUCGUGAAGAGGGAAACAACCCAGACCGCCAGCUAAGGUCCCAAAGUCAUGGUUAAGUGGGAAACGAUGUGGGAAGGCCCAGACAGCCAGGAUGUUGGCUUAGAAGCAGCCAUCAUUUAAAGAAAGCGUAAUAGCUCACUGGUCGAGUCGGCCUGCGCGGAAGAUGUAACGGGGCUAAACCAUG
rnacentral:rRNA from 1 species